rnacentral:tRNA from 1 species
GGGCGCGUAGCUCAGUUGGCUAGAGCGCUUCCCUUACAAGGAAGAAGUCGGGGGUUCAAGUCCCUCCGCGCCCA